CACGUAGGGCGCGAGCGUUGUCCGGAAUUAUUGGGCGUAAAGAGCUCGUAGGCGGCCUGUUGCGUCCGCUGUGAAAGCCCGGGGCUUAACCCCGGGUCGGCAGUGGAUACGGGCAGGCUAGAGGUAGGUAGGGGAGAAUGGAAUUCCCGGUGUAGCGGUGAAAUGCGCAGAUAUCGGGAGGAACACCGGUGGCGAAGGCGGUUCUCUGGGCCUUACCUGACGCUGAAGCGCGAAAGCGUGGGGAGCAAACAGG
rnacentral:rRNA from 1 species